rnacentral:rRNA from 1 species
GACGAGCGCUGGCGGCGUGCCUAAUACAUGCAAGUAGAACGCUGAAGAGAGGAGCUUGCUCUUCUUGGAUGAGUUGCGAACGGGUGAGUAACGCGUAGGUAACCUGCCUGGUAGCGGGGGAUAACUAUUGGAAACGAUAGCUAAUACCGCAUAAAAUGGAUUAUCGCAUGAUAAUCCAUUGAAAGGUGCAAAUGCAUCACUACCAGAUGGACCUGCGUUGUAUUAGCUAGUUGGUGGGGUAACGGCUCACCAAGGCGACGAUACAUAGCCGACCUGAGAGGGUGAUCGGCCACACUGGGACUGAGACACGGCCCAGACUCCUACGGGAGGCAGCAGUAGGGAAUCUUCGGCAAUGGACGGAAGUCUGACCGAGCAACGCCGCGUGAGUGAAGAAGGUUUUCGGAUCGUAAAGCUCUGUUGUAAGAGAAGAACGAGUGUGAGAGUGGAAAGUUCACACUGUGACGGUAUCUUACCAGAAAGGGACGGCUAACUACGUG